UCGUGUAUUUUACAGACCUAACACAAAUACAUAGUUUAUACCAAGUCCUGAUAAUAAUUGGCUUAGCUGGCAUGCUAUUUCUCUUUAAUAUUUCGAGUUGGAAAGCUUGUACCUUUUCUUUGAAGGCACACUAUAUUAUUUGAACAUUUAUAAUGCGCAAAAACGUGAUAUAUUUAUGGCUUCAUUAAAAAGAAGAUUUUAAAGUACCAAAUUAUCAGCUUGAAUUGGCAUGUUUGUGGUAUCCUUUUCAUACAGCAGAAGAAAAGUGAGUUGCGAAGAUUGCGUACAAUGAGAGCGAGAGAUGUUAUCUUUCAAUACGUGAGAUAAAAAGAAGAAAGCGAAAUCUCACACCGCGUUGUUAUUGUUUUUCUGUGAAAAACUUGAAGCUGUUUUGUAAAUCUUGAUAAAGUUAAUAAAUUGUUUUUGUUUCUGUA